UACGGGGGGGGGCAAGCGUUGUUCGGAAUUACUGGGCGUAAAGGGCUCGUAGGCGGCCAACUAAGUCAGACGUGAAAUCCCCCGGCUUAACCGGGGAACUGCGUCUGAUACUGGAUGGCUUGAGUUUGGGAGAGGGAUGCGGAAUUCCAGGUGUAGCGGUGAAAUGCGUAGAUAUCUGGAGGAACACCGGUGGCGAAGGCGGCAUCCUGGACCAACACUGACGCUGAGUGAGCGAAAGCCAGGGGAGCAAAGCGGG
rnacentral:rRNA from 1 species